GUACCUAUACUUUGAUGCGAGCUCUGCCGUUACAUAAAUAGGCAGAGUACCUAUGCUUGGAUGAGAGCUCUGCCAUUACAUAAAAAAGCAGAGUACUUGGUGACCCUU
rnacentral:lncRNA from 1 species